AGAUGGCGGACGAAAACCCGUGUCGCGCCAUUUUGGCACACAUUUCUCAUUUUAGCUACUAAAAUAAUGAAAAUAACUCAGUUUCUUGUUGAAUAACGUGAAAUGUUGUUCAUUCUUAGUAAGUUUAAGAGUUUUUAGAGUAUUUCGUGUGCAGGUAAGGUAUGUGCUCGAAUGAAUGAUAUGCUGUUUGAAAAGACAAUAUUUUUUAUUAUUAUAAAAUAAUAUUUAUAACCCUCUGUGUUGCUGAGAAGUUUGUUCAUUGCCAUGGAUGAGAAAGGACGAAUGAAAGUGCCCUGUACUGUACGAGAACCGGUGUCGCCAAAGCCACACAUUUAAUAAUUUUUUUCUUUCUCGCCAUAACUUUAGGAAGCGCUCUGUAGGGCAGUACAUUUAACAUAAUAUUGUACAUUUGGACGUAAAUUUACUACGAUUUAAUUAGUCUGGAUUCAAUAAAAGUUUUUAGUAGUUACAGGACUUCUACCUAUACUUACAGAUGUUAUAAUAGGUCUACCUCUGUCAACGGAUAAGAGGAUUACAAUUCCCUUUACUUAUUUUUUCCAUAGAAAAUGUUUUACUGAUUUUUAUCUAAAUGCGCUAAAUAAUGAGUCAUUCCCGUUGGAUACCACAUUUUGAUCCCAAAAUUUUAUGUAUUUCCGAUGGAUCCCAUUAGAAUAAAAUUAAAUAUUUUUAACGGACUUCCUAGUCCGUUAGAAACUAGAAACGGCGGGAAACACCUCUAAAAUACAAACUCAAAGAAUUAGAAAGCAGUACACACCAAUUAAACACCAAAAAGUUCACACCUCAAGAAUAGCCAAAAGUAACAAAUAACGGAACAACCAAAGAAGUUGUUAUUACAAAAAUUAUUAAAUUACACCCUAGCAUUGUGAGUAAAUUUGAAUAAAUUAUAAUCACAAUGCAUAUUCAAAUUGGUUCCCAGCAUUUGGAGUCAUCUUUUAUAAUAAUGCUUAACCCUUUCUUGCAGUUGUGAUAGUUUGGGUUAUUAUUAUUAAUAAUAAGGAGCUCAGGUGAUCUUCUGUUGUUAGUUUCGCUUUGAAAACGGUUGAAUGAAUAUUUGGUUUAUGUUGUUAAGAUUUGAUUGUUAGUAUCUUGGGUGGUUGAGUGUCACUUGGUCAAGAGUAUAAGCAAACUGUAGAAUAAACAAACUAAACAAUAGUUGAUCAAAUGUUUUGGCAUUUUUUUUAAGUAUGUAUAUCUUGAUUCCAAUCAACAUUGUAGUCAGUUUGAUAGCAGCUAAAUUCUUGAUCUUUGUUUUGUGCGCGCUCCCAUAUGAUACAUCUCUGUAGUUAUCAAGCGCCCGAUCAAAUUGUCGGCUGACUAAAAAAUCUGCAGUGUGCGGUUACUCUAAGAUUUGUUUGUCAGUACGUUGAGUGGUGAAUGUUCGUCCGUUAAGUGAUAGUGGUAGAUUCCUGAAAUGGGCGAGUUCAUUUACAAGAUUUCAUUCUGGUUCUCAAUUGGAAUGAUUUUUUUAUUCGAAGACUUAAUGAUAUAUGUCUAUAUCAACCUCUGCAAUAUUUUACUAUUUUUUUAUUUGGAUUAUUUUUGACGUUAAAAUUGAAAUAUUCAAAAAUAAAAUUUAUUUAACUUGCAUGUUUUUACUGCUUAAGAAAUACUAUAUUGUAUGCAUAUUGAAAGCUAUAUAGAAACUAUUCUAAAAUGCUCCUAAAGAAAUCGCCUUUAAUUGAAUCUACCAAAGCGAUCUGUAGCAGGCUCAACGAAAUCGAAAGCUGUUAUAACUAUCAAUAUUUGAUCUAACAAAAACUCACCGGCUCAACGGAACAGUGUUGACUAGGUAUUAUUUCCUACUUUUUAUUAACAAUAUAACCCUACACUUUCGAUCCUUAGCCGUUUUUUCCUACUUCCUGAACUCCACACAUCUGUGCGACAAAAAAUGACAUACACUACACAAAGAACAUUAUUCUAAUUAUGCAUAGACCGACAACGUGCUCCGACAUGAAAAAAAAUAAUAAUAAAAAGGUCGAUAAAGGGUUAACUUUUUGC